rnacentral:rRNA from 1 species
AUGCAAGGUUAAGUGGAAGACACGGAGCCGUAGCGAAAGCGAGUCUGAAUAGGGCGAUUUAGUAUGCGGUCGUAGACCCGAAACCGUGUGAUCUACCCAUGUCCAGGGUGAAGGUCAGGUAACACUGACUGGAGGCCCGAACCCACGUAUGUUGAAAAAUGCGGGGAUGAGGUGUGGGUAGGGGUGAAAUGCCAAUCGAACACGGAGAUAGCUGGUUCUCUCCGAAAUAGUUUUAGGGCUAGCCUCAAGAUGAUGAGUACUGGAGGUAGAGCACUGAUUGGACUAGGGGCCCUCAUCGGGUUACCGAAUUCAGUCAAACUCCGAAUGCCAGAUACUUAAACUUGGGAGUCAGACUAUGGGUGAUAAGGUUCAUAGUCGAAAGGGAAACAGCCCAGACCACCAGCUAAGGUCCCAAAGUAUACGUUAAGUGGAAAAGGAUGUGGAGUUGCUUAGACAACC